GACGAACGCUGGCGGCGUGCUUAAUACAUGCAAGUCGAGCGAACAGACCAGUAGCUUGCUCCUCUGACGUUAGCCGCGGACGUGAGAGUAACAUGUGGAUAACUUACCUAUAAGACUGGGACAACUUCGGGAAACCGGUGCUAAUACCGGAUAAUAUAUUGAUCCGUAUGGUUCAAUAGUGAAAGACGGUUUUGCUGUCACUUCUAGAUGGAUCCGCGCUGCUUUAGCUAGUUGGUAAGGUAACGGCUUACCAAGGCAACGAUGCGUAGCCGACCUGAGAGGGUGAUCGGCCACACUGGAACUGAGACGCGGUCAAGGCUCCUACGGGAGGCAGCAGUAGCGAAUCUUCCGCAAUGGGCGGAAGCCUGACGGAGCAGCGGCACGUGAGUGAUGAAGGUCUUCGGAUCGUAAGACUCUGUUAUGGGGGAAGAACAAAUGUGUAAGGAGCUAUGCACGUCGUGACGGUACCUGAUCAAGAAGCAACGGCUAACUACGUG
rnacentral:rRNA from 1 species